CCUACGGGCGGCAGCAGUGAGGAAUAUUGGUCAAUGGACGAGAGUCUGAACCAGCCAAGUAGCGUGAAGGAUGACUGCCCUAUGGGUUGUAAACUUCUUUUAUAUGGGAAUAAAAUGUUCCACGUGUGGGAUUUUGUAUGUACCAUAUGAAUAUGGAUCGGCUAACUCCGUGCCAGCAGCCGCGGUAAUACGGAGGAUCCGAGCGUUAUCCGGAUUUAUUGGGUUUAAAGGGAGCGUAGGUGGAUUGUUAAGUCAGUUGUGAAAGUUUGCGGCUCAACCGUAAAAUUGCAGUUGAAACUGGCAGUCUUGAGUACAGUAGAGGUGGGCGGAAUUCGUGGUGUAGCGGUGAAAUGCUUAGAUAUCACGAAGAACUCCGAUUGCGAAGGCAGUUCACUGGACUGCAACUGACACUGAGGCUCGAAAGUGUGGGUAUCAAACAGGAUUAGAUACCCUAGUAGUC
rnacentral:rRNA from 1 species